rnacentral:rRNA from 1 species
UACGUAGGGACCAAGCGUUGUUCGGAUUUACUGGGCGUAAAGGCGCGUAGGCGGCAAUUCAAGUCAGCUGUGAAAUCUCCGGGCUUAACUCGGAACGGUCAGCUGAUACUGCUUUGCUAGAGUGCAGAAGGGGUCAAUCGGAAUUCUUGGUGUAGCGGUGAAAUGCGUAGAUAUCAAGAGGAACACCUGAGGUGAAGACGGGUUGCUGGGCUGACACUGACGCUGAGGCGCGAAAGCUAGGGUAGCAAACGGG